rnacentral:rRNA from 1 species
AGGACGAACGCUGGCGGCGUGCUUAACACAUGCAAGUCGAACGCGCCUUAUUCCUUCGGGAGUAAGGUGAGUGGCGAACGGGUGAGUAACACGUGAGCAACCUGCCCUUGACCCUGGAAUAACAGCUGGAAACAGCUGCUAAUACCGGAUACGACCUCCGAUGGCAUCAUCUGGAGGUGGAAAGCUCCGACGGUCAAGGAUGGGCUCGCGGCCUAUCAGCUUGUGUGAGGUAACGCUCACCAAGGCUUCGAC